GACGGAGGAUGCAAGCGUUAUCCGGAAUGAUUGGGCGUAAAGCGUCCGCAGGUGGCAGUUCAAGUCUGCUGUCAAAGACCGGGGCUUAACUUCGGAAAGGCAGUGGAAACUGAACAGCUAGAGUAUGGUAGGGGCAGAGGGAAUUCCUGGUGUAGCGGUGAAAUGCGUAGAGAUCAGGAAGAACACCGAUGGCGAAGGCAGCCUCCUGGGCCAGCACUGACGCUCAUGCACGAAAGCGUGGGGAGCAAACAGG
rnacentral:rRNA from 1 species